rnacentral:rRNA from 1 species
UACGAAGGGGGCUAGCGUUGUUCGGAAUUACUGGGCGUAAAGGGCGCGUAGGCGGCGUGUCAAGUCAGGCGUGAAAGCCCCGGGCUCAACCUGGGAACCGCGCUUGAGACUGGCAUGCUCGAGUUCGGGAGAGGAUGGUGGAAUUCCCAGUGAUAGAGGUGAAAUUCGUAGAUAUUCGCAAGAACACCAGUGGCGAAGGCGGCUCACUGGCCCGGUACUGACGCUGAGGUGCGGAAAGCGUGGGGAGCAAACAGG